rnacentral:rRNA from 1 species
UUUUGCUUUAUGGUAAUGUGAGAUGCAGUGUAUGGAAUGUCAAAUUUCUAGUAUGAGAAAUUAACGAUGUUUAAGUCCUUCUUAAAUGAGGCCAUUUACCCAUAGAGGGUGCCAGGCCCGUAUAACGUUAAUGAUUACUAGAUGACAUUUUCAAAGAGUCGUGUUGCKUGUUUGAUAGUGCAGCACUAAGUGGGUGGUAAACUCCAUCUAAAACUAAAUAUAACCAUGAGACCGAUAGUAAACAAGUACCGUGAGGGAAAGUUGAAAAGAAKUGUCUCUGAAUAGAGAGUUAAAUAGUACGUGAAACUGCUUAGAGGUUAAGCCCGAUGAACUUGAAUAUCCGUUUUAGAAAAUUCAUCAUUAUGAKUGUUAAUAUAUUAUAAAAAUGGUGUGCAUUUUUUCUAUAUGGACAUUGUAAUCUAUUAACAUAGACAAUUUAUCAAAAGAUCGCGAAAGUUUAUUCAAAUUAUUUUGCUGUCAAUUUAACAUAGAAUAAAUGCUCUUGAUUCGAUAAAGUGUUGAUAGAUUUAGUAUAGUGCUUAAAUAAUAUUUUAUAAUUGCAUAUUAAUUAUUAAUUUAUAUGUKUUUUAUUUAUAUGCACUUUUAUGAUUAACAAUGCGAAAGAUUCAGGAUACCUUCGGGACCCGUCUUGAAACACGGACCAAGGAGUCUAACAUAUKUGUUUGCAAGUUAUUGGGUGAAACCUAAUAGCGAAAUUAACAUAACAUAAUGGGAUUAGUUUUUAAACUAUUAAUUCAAUCCCGGGGCGUUCUAUACAGUUAUGUAUAAUAAUAUUUAUAUUAUUUAUACCUCUAAKUGUCUAGAGCGUACCUUGAGCAUAUAUGCUGUGACCCGAAAGAUGGUGAACUAUACUUGAUCAGGUUGAAGUCAGGGGAAACCCUGAUGGAAGACCGAAACAGKUGUUCUGACGUGCAAAUCGAUUGUCAGAAUUGAGUAUAGGGGCGAAAGACAAUCGAACCAUCUAGUAGCUGGUUCCCUCCGAAGUUUCCCUCAGGAUAGKUGCUGGUGCAUUUAAAAUUUUUGUAAAAUAAUCUUAUCUGGUAAAGCGAAUGAUUAGAGGCCUUAGGGUCGAAACGAUCUUAACCUAUUCUCAAACUUUAAKUGUAUGGGUAAGAACCUCACCUUUCUUGGU